GACGAACGCUGGCGGCGUGCCUAAUACAUGCAAGUCGAACGCAUUUUCUUUCACCGUAGCUUGCUACACCGAAAGAAACUGAGUGGCGAACGGGUGGGUACCACCUGGUUAACCUGCCCAUCAGCGGGGGAUAACACUUGGAAACAGGAGCUAAUACCGCGUAAUUCCAUUUACCGCAUGGUAAAUGGAUGAAAGGCGCUUUUGCGUCACUGAUGGAUGGACCCGCGGUGCUUUGGCUAGUGGGUGGGGUAACGGCGUACCAAGGUUGGGAUGCAUAGCCGACCGGUGUGGGCGGGUGGCCAGCCUGGGACUGAGACACGGCCCAGUCUGCUUCGGGGGGCAGCAGUAGGGAAACUUCGGCAAGGGGCGCAAGUCUGACCGAGCAACGCCGCGGGAGGGAAGAAGGUUGUCGGAUCGUAAAACUCGGUUUUUAGAGAAGAACAAGGAUGAGAGUGGAAAGUUCAGCCCUUGACGGUAACUAACCAGAAAGCCACGGCUAACUACGUG
rnacentral:rRNA from 1 species